rnacentral:rRNA from 1 species
AGACCGGUCUACUGGUCGUGCUUUUGUACGUACUGGUUUUAUCGGUUUCUCCUUUCUGACGAACUAUAAUGCCAUUAAUUUGGUGUUAUAGGGAAUCAGGACUGUUACUUUGAAAAAAUUAGAGUGUUUAAAGCAGGCUCACGCUUGAAUACAUUAGCAUGGAAUAACGGAAUAGGACGU